rnacentral:rRNA from 1 species
GGACUACUCGGGUUUCUAAUCCCGUUUGCUCCCCUAGCUUUCGCGCCUCAGCGUCAGUGUCGGUCCAGGAAGCCGCCUUCGCCACCGGUGUUCCUCCGGAUAUCUACGCAUUUCACCGCUACACCCGGAAUUCCACUUCCCUCUCCCGAACUCAAGUCCGCCAGUUUCCCGUGCAGUUCCUCAGUUGAGCCGAGGUAUUUCACACGGGACUUAGCAGACCGCCUACGCGCCCUUUACGCCCAGUAAUUCCGAACAACGCUUGCUCCCUCUGUAUUACCGCGGCUGCUGGCAC